AAGAGGGAACCCGGUGGAAGUCCGGGACUGCCCCGCAGCGGUGAGCGGGAACGACCGCCGUCACACGCACUGGCCCCGGCACGGGGCUGGGAAGCGACGGCCAGUAGGUGGGUGGCCGACGACCACGCACGCCCGCAAGUCCGAAGACCU
rnacentral:ncRNA from 2 species